rnacentral:misc_RNA from 1 species
GAUGAAGAACGCAGCUAAAUGCGAUAAGUAAUGUGAAUUGCAGAAUUCAGUGAAUCAUCGAAUCUUUGAACGCACAUUGCGCCCAUUAGUAUUCUAGUGGGCAUGCCUGUUCGAGCGUCAUUUCAACCCUUAAGCUUAGCUUAGUAUUGGGAAUCUGCUUAACCGCAGCUCCUUAAAUCUAGUUGGCAGAGCACAGCUGUACUCUGAGCGUAGUAAUUCAUUAUCUCGCUUUCUGAAGACAGUCGUACGAUAGCCACAAACUUGCAUCUUGCAAACUUUUUAAUGGUUGACCUCGGAUCAGGUAGGAAUACCCGCUGAACUUAAGCAUAUCAAUAAGCGGAGGA